GACAGGGGAAAACAGGAGAUCAAGGGGCUCCAGGACCACCGGGUCCACCUGGAACUUGUGAUGCUGAAGCUGUCAAGGGGAUGAAGGGUGACCCGGGGGUGGUUGCAGGA